GGGAUUCUCUUUUGGGGCUGCUGUUUGUUUGGGUAAGUAAUUGCGUGCUUCGAAUGAGCUGAAUCAUGGUGUUAAGAUCGUUUGUUUGUUGGUUGUGGCCAAAUUGAUAAUUGAUUAUUGGUGUUUAAGACUAAUAUGAUUCGUUUUAAUUGUUGUUUCUAGAGUUUGGAGGGGUGACGAACUGUCGUGUUUCAAAGGCAGUAAGGUGUGUAACACAAACUAGAGAAAAUAGCAAAUUACGAAAGCCGAAAUUGGGAAUUAUCGACACCACAUGGCCGUGUGGUAGGUCGUGUGUGACAUACUGGCGUGUGUGACAAGCCAUGUGGUAUGUCGUAUGUGACAUAUAAACAUGAGUCAAGCUAUGUGCUAGACUGUGUGAGACACAUGGUCUGGGCCAAUUGGGCUAUGUAGGCCACAUGGGCAUUUAUGAGAUCAUGUACCAGGCCGUGUGGGCCACACGGGCUGGCCAAGUAGGC
rnacentral:lncRNA from 1 species